GCUUCGGUGGCCUAAGUGGUUAGGGCUUAUGCCUCGGAUGCGGCAGACCGUGGGUUCGAACCCUGACCGGAUCA